AGUUGUAUCCUGGCUCAGGAUGAACGCUAGCGGUAUGCCUAACACAUGCAAGUCGUACGAGGGUUUCAUACCCAAGUGGCGGACGGGUGAGUAACACGUGAGAAUUUGCCCUAAGGAGGGGGAUAACAACUGGAAACGGUUGCUAAAACCCCAUAUGCUUCCGAGUGAAAUAGAUUUAUCUGCCUUAGGAGAAGCUCGCGGCUGAUUAGCUAGUUGGUAAGGUAAUGGCUUACCAAGGCGACGAUCAGUAUCUGGUUUGAGAGGACGAUCAGACACACUGGAACUGAGACACGGUCCAGACUCCUACGGGAGGCAGCAGUGGGGAAUUUUCCGCAAUGGGCGAAAGCCUGACGGAGCAAUACCGCGUGAAGGAAGACGGCCUAUGGGUUGUAAACUUCUUUUUUCAGGGAGGAACUCAAUGACGUGUACCUGAAGAAUAAGCAUCGGCUAACUCCGUGCCAGCAGCCGCGGUAAGACGGAGGAUGCAAGUGUUAUCCGGAAUCACUGGGCGUAAAGCGUCUGUAGGUGGUUUAAUAAGUCGACUGUUAAAUCUUGAGGCUUAACCUCAAAAUCGCAUUCGAAACUAUUAGACUUGAGUAUAGUAGAGGUAAAGGGAAUUUCCAGUGGAGCGGUGAAAUGCGUAGAUAUUGGAAAGAACACCGAUGGCGAAGGCACUUUACUGGGCUAUUACUGACACUCAGAGACGAAAGCUAGGGUAGCAAAUGGGAUUAGAUACCCCAGUAGUCCUAGCCGUAAACAAUGGAUACUAGAUGUUGGACAGAUCGACCUGUGCAGUAUCAAAGCUAACGCGUUAAGUAUCCCGCCUGGGAAGUAUGCUCGCAAGANUGAAACUCAAGGGAAUUGACGGGGG
rnacentral:rRNA from 1 species